rnacentral:rRNA from 1 species
CGUCAGCUCGUGUCGUGAGAUGUUGGGGUUAAGUCCCGCAAACGAGCGCAACCCCUUGUUGUUAGUUACUAACGGGUAAAGCCGAGGACUCUGACAAGACUGCCGGGGACAACUCGGAGGAAGGUGGGGACGACGUCAAAUCAUCAUGCCCCUUAUGACCUGGGCUACACACGUGCUACAAUGGCGCAAACAAAGGGAAGCGAGAUCGCGAGAUGGAGCAAACCCCGUAAAAGGCGUCCCAGUUGGACUGCAGGCUGCAACCCGCCUGC